UACAGAGGUCCCAAGCGUUGUUCGGAUUCACUGGGCGUAAAGGGUGCGUAGGUGGUUGGGUAAGUCUGAUGUGAAAUCUCCGAGCUUAACUCGGAAAUGGCAUUGGAUACUAUUCGGCUAGAGGGUUUGAGGGGGGGACUGGAAUACUUGGUGUAGCAGUGAAAUGCGUAGAUAUCAAGUGGAACACCAGUGGCGAAGGCGAGUCCCUGGAAAACUCCUGACACUGAGGCACGAAAGCUAGGGGAGCAAACAGG
rnacentral:rRNA from 1 species